rnacentral:rRNA from 1 species
GACGAACGCUGGCGGCGUGCCUAAUACAUGCAAGUUGAGCGCUGAAGGUUGGUACUUGUACCAACUGGAUGAGCAGCGAACGGGUGAGUAACGCGUGGGGAAUCUGCCUUUGAGCGGGGGACAACAUUUGGAAACGAAUGCUAAUACCGCAUAAAAACUUUAAACACAAGUUUUAAGUUUGAAAGAUGCAAUUGCAUCACUCAAAGAUGAUCCCGCGUUGUAUUAGCUAGUUGGUGGGGUAAAGGCUCACCAAGGCGAUGAUACAUAGCCGACAUGAGAGGGUGAUCGGCCACAUUGGGAGUGAGACACGGCCCAAACUCCUACGGGAGGCAGCAGUAGGGAAUCUUGGGGAAUGGACGAAAGUCUGAGCGAGAAACGCCGAGUGAGUGAAGAAGGUUUUCGGAUCGUAAAACUCUGUUGGUAGAGAAGAACGUUGGUGAGAGUGGAAAGCUCAUCAAGUGACGGUAACUACCCAGAAAGGGACGGCUAACUACGUG